GCAAAUCACAUCGUCAGAAGCUAGCCUGAUAUACAGGGGUGACCCCCAGCCUCCGGUGGCAUGGAAAUGGAGGCAGCAAAGGCAGGCUGGGAGAGGCUGCAGUGAUGCUCAGGUUUCUCUGGGCAUAGUCAAUGAAUUUCAGUGCAGGAUUCUGCAAAGAGGACACGCCAUGGUAGCUAACAAACCAGUUCUUCCAGCCUGUCCCCCAAAUACAGCUGCAUUUCACCCUUGCAUUCAAGGUACAGUGACCAUGAUGCCAGCAGUACUAAGGGGAAGCAGGAGUGCUGAUGGAGCACUGUGCAUCGCAUCACUUUGAGGAGGCUGCCAGUGUCGUGACUCCCAUUUUUCCAAGGUAGCUUAGGAAGUGACUUACCUAGAAAUCUAUGAAAGAGCAUUAAAAGAACAUAUUUAAACUUUUCUAGCUACAAAGUAUUAGUGCACAUUGGCCUGGGCUUCCCACUGAGCCACAGUCCGUUUUCCACACUGUGGUCUUCUGCAGUCCCACAACCUCCUCCAAGCUGUCCUGUGGCACCCAGGACAUGUCUCUGGGCUCUGUCUUGUGCUGCUCUCUCUCUGUUGUACGGCACAGGGAUUUGAAAGCAAAGUGCAGAUCGUCAACCAAACCACUACAGCAUCUUGUGACCCCCCUUUCCCCUCCCGUAGGUCUUCCUUCAAUAUUCCUAUUUCUCAAAACACUGUCCAUGCUGCAUUUAAUGGAAAAAGCCCCAGUUUCUCAUGCAACAUUUUGCCCCACCAGCUCCCACCUUAUGUACUUGUUAAGAAAAAAAUAAUUUCUAAGAUGAUCUUUAUUACCUGAUAUUAAAUUCCAUAUGCCCAUUACUGUCCAUACUUUGCUGCAGAAAAUAGCCAUGCUGUCAAUUUUCCUGACUUUUAGAGAGUUCAAGGCCAAACCACCACCUGCAGUGACCUUAUGAACAUUUUAGCUGAAAGUGUUACAACAAUUUUACCUGGCACUACUUCUAAUUUGACCAAAAUUAUUGCUUUUUAGUUUUGAUGCCAUAAUAAAAAAGCAGAUUCAUAGAAAGAUUUGAUUUGAUUCCAUGCGGGCAGACAUUCAUUGCUGUGUCAGAACCAAAGCCCUUACAUUUUAGAAAAUGAAAAUGAGAUAAUCAAACCCAAAUCUGUCUUAUAAAGACACUCAGCGUCUGCUGCCCUCGGUUAGAUAGCCCAGCUUUGAAAUCUCUAACCACCUGCCAAGCCUUUUCUUACACAAGGGUAUUGUAAAUUCACUUUAGGCCACACGAACAGUAUUUCCCACAGCUCCAUUCACAACACAAUGCAGAGACAAAGUUGAGGGGGGACACAAAACUUUUUGAGAAAGCUACCACUGCUUUGGAAUAAUUAUUUGAAUACAGAAAUUAGGAAGAAUUCACAAUUCUUCUUAUAGAAGGACUGAAAAAAAAAAAAGAAAAAAAAAAAGGAGGAGAAAGAGUCAUAUAGAGAAAAGACAAAGGAACAUGUGGUGUUUACGUGAAAAAUUGCCUGUGUUAAAUCAGGGCUGAUUUUCAGCAGAUCCCUAAGAAGGACUUAAGGAUGAGAAAGCAUCAGGGAUUCAGGCAGUUCAUCUGGCAGUACCUUGUAUGACCCUAAAGCUUGCUGAGGUGAGGAACAAAGCAAACUGAAGUCCAUUUCCUUACAAGGAGCAGGCUCCCAAUUAAUGCAAGGUCUCAAAAAGCACAGAAGCAACUGUUUCUUAGCAAAACCUUCCCUGCAGGAAGAAGCUGAUGAAGGCCUCAUGCCAUGACAUUUCCCUCAGAAGCAAUUAGCAGGAGACGGGGAAGAAAAGAACAGAAAUUGCUGAAUCAAUGUACGUUUCACCUGUUUGGGUCCCUGUUUUUUGUUGUUGUCGUCGUUUUUAAUUCCAGGAAACUGCCAGGUAUAUUUAGGAACUGUAACCGAUUUGACAGAUGAAGAGGUAUUGUGGUUGCACAAGCCUCAGCUGGCAACCAGUGCAAUAGUACAUGGGUUGAUACUGGGGUCUGCAGCCCUGAACUUCGUCAUCAACAGCCUAAGCAAUGACAGAGCGCAUCCUCAGUGGUUUUCCAGCUAACAUUAAAUUUGGGGGAGUGACUGAUGUGCUGAAUGGCAGAAUUCCAACCCAGAUGGACCUUGAGAAGCUUGAGGACCAGGCAAGCAGAAAUCCCAUGAAGUUCGGCAAGGAGAAAUGCAAAGUUCAGCAUCUGGGGUGGAAUAAACCGUGCAUGUGUACGUGCUAGGAAGUUGAAGAAGACCCAAAGGUUACAGCAGUAACAUUCAUAUUCAGGUUGAAUCUGAGCUAACAGCAAGUUCUCCGUGUUCAAUGCAAAUGGUAUAUUGGGCUACAUCAGGAGGAGCAUGGCCAGAACCUGAAAGGAAGGUCUUAUCUCCUUUGCUCAGCACUGAGAAACCCAUACUUUCACAAUGCUGCCAGUUUGAAUUCCUGGGUCAUGUUGAGACACUGAGGGCUCAGCAGAUGGUUGCCAAGAUGGACAGGAGCUGGGAAAACAACGCUGAGGAGAAGCCAAAGGAGAUGAGCAGGGGCAGGUGAACAAGGGCCCCUUGAUGACAUGGAGGGACAGUGACAACAAUGACAGGGUCAUGUACUGUGGAGAUGUCAGACCAUACCCCAAGAAGCCACAGUAACAAGUUGCUAAGGAGGUUCAGGCAUCAGGAAAAAAAUGUUUCUUAUGAUAACAGAACAGGUCUGUAUCAGGUGCCUGGGGAGGUGGUGGCAUCACUAUCCCUGGAGGUCUUCAAGACUCAGCUGGGCAGUCUUAGCUGAUAGCUGAUGUGACCUAGUGCUGGCAAUAGUCUUUUGAGAAGGAAGAUGGAUGAAAUAAUCUCCAGAGACCCCUUCCAACAAAAGUGUCUAUGAUUUUAGGAUUUUUAUUGAAUUGCAUAAUUUUUAAACAAACUGGGGGCUUGAGUCACAGCCUUCCGAGGCCAAAGAAUGACCUUGUUUUGACUUAACAGAGACUUGGAUAAGGCACUAGGAACUGACACCAACUGUCCUAAAUUAUGUAAUUUGUAGGCUGUAGCUGAACUGUCAACAUACUAUUUAAUCUUAUAACAGCGGAGAUAAAAACCUUCUGCUUCAUUAAUGCUUGGAAAAUGAGAAAGCAGUAUUUAUUCUUUCUCCAUCUUUGUUGCAUUACCAUGUACCUGAUGCCUGCAUACAGAAUACAGAAAGUCUGCGUAAAUACAAAUGAACCAACGAGGACAUUUUUGUGCCACAGAAAGAACCAUCAGGUUGCCUGGCUCUGUUGCAGCUGUGUCUGUGGUCAUACCUUGAAGAAAAUGAGAUUGUGCUUUACUUCUCUUCUAAGAUCAAAAGUAGAUCCAGAUUUUGGUUUUAACCAAAGAUUACCCAUUGGACUUGGCAUGUGUCUGCUGUAACAACCUCUUCUCCCCUUUUCUAUAUGUACUCUGACAGCUGCCACCUGAGGUACUUCUGGUGGCCUCUGGACUUGACCUUUGAAAGACAGAUUUGACCUUUGCAGAAGAGGAGCCUUUCCCUGAUGCAACCUCUGUGUGUUACAUGAGCAUUCAAAUGGAAUGACUUCUGGAAGGCCAAAUGGUGGCUCAAAGGUUUCUUGGAGGAAAAACUAGGAUGAGACUGUUGUUAAAUCUGUGUGUAUGUUGGGGAGGAAAUGGCUGAUGCUUUCCAGUUGGCUACAGGACAAUUUUUGUGGGAUUCAUUUUCCCUAACUUUAACAAUCUAGCCUAAAUUAAUUGUGCUGGCUCUGUCUGAAUCUGAUGAAGAGGGACUGAGAGAGACCCUCCAGAGCAGGGGUCCUCAAACUUUUUAAACAGGGGGCCGGUGCGUGGAUGAAGUGGCAGGAAGUCAUCUGCAGCUGCUUGGAUUCCCCCCCCAACCCCCAGCGGGGGGGAGUGUGUGUGUCUUUAAAUACCGGGGACCGGAUUGAAGACCCUGGGGGGCCGUAUCCGGCCUGUGGGUCGUAGUUUGAGGACCUCUGCUCCAGAGGAUGAUCCAAACUACUGAUUAAGAUGCCCCUCCUGGAUGAAUUGACCAGAGGCAGUCUAGACUAGAAGGAACUAAGACCAGAAGUAUAAUUUUGUGGAGAGUGACAAAUAGCUGAGAUUAAUUAUUUUUUUUUCUCAAUACCUCAGAUGCACUGGCAAAUUGAAAGCUAUUGCAGAGAAAAACAUUAUAUCUAGAAAUAAACACAUCGAAUUGUA